GAUGAAGAACGCAGCGAAAUGCGAUAAGUAAUGUGAAUUGCAGAAUUCAGUGAAUCAUCGAAUCUUUGAACGCACAUUGCGCCCGCCAGCAUUCUGGCGGGCAUGCCUGUCCGAGCGUCAUUUCAACCAUCAGGGUCCCUCCGCCUCGCGCGGUCGGAGCCUGGUGUUGGGGAUCGGCCCGCCCCGCGCGGCGCCGUCCCCCAAAUACAGUGGCGGUCCCGCCGCAGCCUCCCCUGCGCAGUAGUUAUCAACUCGCACUGGAGCGCGGCGCGGCCACGCCGUAAAACACCCAACUUCUGAAUGUUGACCUCGAAUCAGGUAGGAAUACCCGCUGAACUUAAGCAUAUCAAUAAGCGGAGGA
rnacentral:misc_RNA from 1 species